UUAAAUAAAUAACUUAGACAUCAUUUAUGGUUCAGUAUUUUAUGUAAAUUGAAUAUUUGGAUCUUCGUGAAUGUAAUAAGGAUUUGAAAUUUUUGUAAAUUGAAAAUAGUUUUCUACCCUCCGUGGUAGCGAGUUUUAAAAGGAAAAAGUUUUCGUGUGGGAAACGGUUUUUUUAAAAAAAGUUUUCUUGAUUUUCAUGACUUAGGGUUUUAAAACGAGUUUUCAAGUAGGAAACAUUUUAAACUGAUAGAUGUGGAUUUAUGAAAAUUUAUGAUGAAAUAAAUAUGGAUGUAAAUGGUGUAUGGAUAUAUGGAUGUUCAUAUGUGGUGGUUGUAUACUCUGUCCGUGUGAACAGUGGACUCCCUGUAUUUGUGGCGGAUCUGGCAUACCCUA
rnacentral:lncRNA from 1 species